rnacentral:rRNA from 1 species
UACGGAGGGUGCGAGCGUUGUCCGGAAUCAUUGGGCGUAAAGGGCGCGUAGGCGGCCACGCGUGUCUUCCGUGAAAUCCCUCGGCUCAACCGAGGACGUGCGGAAGAAACUGCGAGGCUCGAGUCCAGAAGAGGGGGACGGAAUUCCCAGUGUAGCGGUGAAAUGCGUAGAUAUUGGGAGGAACACCGGUGGCGAAGGCGGCCCCCUGGGCUGGUACUGACGCUGAUGCGCGAAAGCGUGGGUAGCAAACGGG